rnacentral:tRNA from 1 species
GGGGCGUUAGUAAAACAAUUACAUAGCCUUGUCAAGGCUAAAUUGCAGGUGAAACCCCAGCACACCCCC